rnacentral:rRNA from 1 species
GGCAUAGUGGCGCACGGGUGCGUAACGCGUGGGAAUCUGCCCUGGGGUCUGGGAUAACCGUUGGAAACGACGGCUAAUACCGGAUGAUGAUGAAAAUCCAAAGAUUUAUCGCCCUGGGAUGAGCCCGCGUCGGAUUAGCUAGUUGGUGGGGUAAAGGCCUACCAAGGCGACGAUCCGUAGCUGGUCUGAGAGGAUGAUCAGCCACACUGGGACUGAGACACGGCCCAGACUCCUACGGGAGGCAGCAGUGGGGAAUAUUGGACAAUGGGCGAAAGCCUGAUCCAGCAAUGCCGCGUGAGUGAUGAAGGCCCUAGGGUUGUAAAGCUCUUUUACCCGGGAAGAUAAUGACUGUACCGGGAGAAUAAGCCCCGGCUAACUCCGUGCCAGCAGCCGCGGUAAU